GAUGAACGCUAGCUACAGGCUUAACACAUGCAAGUCGCGGGGCAGCAUGGGGGUUGCUUGCCAUCCCCGAUGGCGACCGGCGCACGGGUGAGUAACGCGUAUCCAACCUGCCCUUCACCACGGGAUAACCCGGCGAAAGUCGGACUAAUACCGUAUGUUGUCCAUUGACGGCAUCCGAUUUGGACGAAAGGUUUGGCGGUGAAGGAUGGGGAUGCGUCCGAUUAGCUGGACGGCGGGGUGACGGCCCACCGUGGCGACGAUCGGUAGGGGUUCUGAGAGGAAGGUCCCCCACACUGGAACUGAGACACGGCCCAGACUCCUACGGGAGGCAGCAGUGAGGAAUAUUGGUCAAUGGGCGUAAGCCUGAACCAGCCAAGUAGCGUGCAGGAUGACGGCCCUAUGGGUUGUAAACUGCUUUUAUGCGGGGAUAAAGUGGCCCACGUGUGGGUUUUUGCAGGUACCGCAUGAAUAAGGACCGGCUAAUUCCGUG
rnacentral:rRNA from 1 species